GACGUAGGGCGCGAGCGUUGUCCGGAUUUAUUGGCGUAAAGAGCUCGUAGGCGGCUUGUCGCGUCGUCCGUGAAAACUUGGGGCUCAACCCCAAGCUUGCGGUCGAUACGGGCAGGCUAGAGUUCGGUAGGGGAGACUGGAAUUCCUGGUGUAGCGGUGAAAUGCGCAGAUAUCAGGAGGAACACCGAUGGCGAAGGCAGGUCUCUGGGCCGAUACUGACGCUGAGGAGCGAAAGCGUGGGGAGCGAACAGG
rnacentral:rRNA from 1 species